rfam:Triticum aestivum genome assembly, contig: Triticum_aestivum_CS42_TGACv1_scaffold_220601_3B
UUAAUACUCCCUCCGUCCAGAAAUACUUGUCAUCAAAAUAAAUAAAAAGAGAUGUAUCUAGACGUAUUUUAGUUCUAGAUACAUCCUUUUUAUAUGACAAGUAUUUUCGGACGGAGGGAGUAGAUC